CUGGGACAAACCAAAGGUCCAUCUAGCCCAGUAUCCUGUCUUCCAGCAGUGGCCAAUGCCAGGUGCCACAGAGGGAAUGAACAGAACAGCUGAAAGCAGAGACAAAGGGAGGCACCAGAGAAGCACAUGGAGCACCAGGCACAAAGGCUUUUGCAUGUAUGUGUUUCUAAGGUGCCACCCAGGGAAACCCAUAGGCAGAGGAUGACUCUGAGGUCAGAGAUGCAUGCAGCCAGGAGCUCUUUUCUACCCCGGAGGAGGCUAGCCGGUCACAGCUGUCAGAUCUUGGCGAAGCGCAAACAGGAGAGGAGGCCCCUGAAAUGACCUUGGGAACCCAGCCUCCCUCUUUAUUAUUGCUAGCUGAACGGCUGUGCAGAAUUACAAAGAGGCCACGAAGAACUAAGGAGGACUUUCUGCGUGAGGUUAUGAUGCACUCCACCACCGAGAAACAGGAAUUGAAGGAGUGGCAGGACAACGAGAAGAGGGACCGAAAGGAGAAUGCGGCGCGCCAGAAUGAAGCCAUGGAGCAGCUCUUAAACGUUAUGGAGUGCCAAGUGGUCACACUCCAGGUGAUCCUAGCACUGUAAACCAAGCAGCUCUGUGCACACUCUCCCCUGCAGCCACUGUCACAAAACUCUUUCCCACAUGCCCCCCAGACACCGCUAACACACUCUUAUCAACCUCCUGCUUCCAGUCUGUAUCCACGGCAUUCCACUCCUGCCCCAUCACAGUCCAGCCCUGCGGACUCCCAGUACCCACUGCACUCAACACCUGUCCCUCUGCAGUUUAGCCCUGUUGAAGUACGCCGCUGCAUUGUACUCCAAAGGAGAAGGUUGGAUAUGAUCCCUGGACAUACACAAAUCGUUAGCCGUCCCAGGACCCCACCUCCUCCUGGGACUUUCCCUUCCCCCUCAGUGCUGAUGUGUUUUUUUGUUUGUCUCUCUCCUCUGGUGGUUGUUUUUUAAUAAAAUAAUUGUGUUGGUUUGAAA